UUGGGAAUAUUUCACAUUAAUCCUCUCUGUAGGUGAUUUCAAGGCACAGGCUAUUCAAAGCUAGUGAUGGUCCAAACUGGGCCCUUACAGAGAAUUCCAGGUUGCAAUGAUCUAAUCUCGCACCUUUCUCCAGCUUGCAUUUUAUGACAAAUCAUGCCUGAUAUGAAUUUGCCAAAGUUCUUCAAAGUAAACAGUGUCAUUAAGGAAUAUGCUAAACAAGUGGGCUAUUUGUUGCUUCUAAAAAGAGGAAGUACUGUCUCAUGGCACAGCUCUAAUUUUGAUUAAUUCCUCCCUAAUUGAUGCAACAUCAAAAGUUGGUCCAUUAUAGCAACAGCAAGAAAAUGCCACGGUUGAGAAAAUGUACAUUAAUUUAUCCUAAUGGAGCCUGGAUGAAGCCCUCAUGGAGAAGCAGCGCCCCUCUGAAAACUCUUCAUAUACUACAUCUCAGAUACUACAUCUAUUUUGUACAGUUUAACAGUCCUCAGGAAACUAAAUGCUUCAUGUCACAGCAUUACUACAUGGUGACUGUUUAACCUUACUCUCUUUUGGCAUGGUCUGCUUUCCUUAAGAAGAUGCCCAGAUGUUGGAUCACAUUACUCCAUCCAUGUGAGGGAUGCCUAUGCCUAUGUCCACUCCUCAGAAGCUGGCAACCCCAGAGGCAACUUAGCUAAGCCAGAGCCUGUUUUAGGGACUUUUCAGGUUAAGUAACUAUGAAUCUCUUUGUUAAUGUAAUUCAUACACUUUUCAUCAUUUCUGUACAUUUGUUGUCUUUGAUCAAAAUCCUCAUAUGCCUUUUAAAUUUUAUGGGACCAGUUUGUGUAAGAUUGUCCGUGGUCAUUUGCUAUGAAGGAAAUAUUAAAACUGAGUUAAGCCCUUUAAUACCUGUCCCAGAAUACGGGAACUCUAAAAAUA